CUGACGCGCUUACCUGCAAGUCGAACGGGCGUAGCAAUACGUCAGUGGCAGACGGGUGAGUAACGCGUGGGAACGUACCUUUUGGUUCGGAACAACUGAGGGAAACUUCAGCUAAUACCGGAUAAGCCCUUACGGGGAAAGAUUUAUCGCCGAAAGAUCGGCCCGCGUCUGAUUAGCUAGUUGGUGAGGUAAUGGCUCACCAAGGCGACGAUCAGUAGCUGGUCUGAGAGGAUGAUCAGCCACAUUGGGACUGAGACACGGCCCAAACUCCUACGGGAGGCAGCAGUGGGGAAUAUUGGACAAUGGGGGCAACCCUGAUCCAGCCAUGCCGCGUGAGUGAUGAAGGCCCUAGGGUUGUAAAGCUCUUUUGUGCGGGAAGAUAAUGACGGUACCGCAAGAAUAAGCCCCGGCUAACUUCGUGCCAGCAGCCGCGGUAAUACGAAGGGGGCUAGCGUUGCUCGGAAUCACUGGGCGUAAAGGGUGCGUAGGCGGGUUUCUAAGUCAGAGGUGAAAGCCUGGAGCUCAACUCCAGAACUGCCUUUGAUACUGGAAGUCUUGAGUAUGGCAGAGGUGAGUGGAACUGCGAGUGUAGAGGUGAAAUUCGUAGAUAUUCGCAAGAACACCAGUGGCGAAGGCGGCUCACUGGGCCAUUACUGACGCUGAGGCACGAAAGCGUGGGGAGCAAACAGGAUUAGAUACCCCUGGUAGUCCACGCCGUAACGAUGAAUGCCAGCCGUUAGUGGGUUUACUCACUAGUGGCGCAGCUAACGCUUUAAGCAUUCCGCCUGGGGAGUACGGUCGCAGAUUAAACUCAAGGAAU
rnacentral:rRNA from 1 species